GACAUCAUAGCCAAGUGGUUACGGCGACAGAUUCGAACAAUUUAGCGUUAGAUAUCUGUUUCCCUUCGGGAGCGCAGGUUCGAAUCCUGCUGGUGUCG